AUUGAACGCUGGCGGCAGGCCUAACACAUGCAAGUCGAGCGGAUGAAGGGAGCUUGCUCCUGGAUUCAGCGGCGGACGGGUGCGUAAUGCCUAGGAAUCUGCCUGGUAGUGGGGGAUAACGUCCGGAAACGGGCGCUAAUACCGCAUCCGUACUGAGGGAGAAAGUGGGGGAUCUUCGGACCUCACGCUAUCAGAUGAGCCUAGGUCGGAUUAGCUAGUUGGUGGGGUAAAGGCCUACCAAGGCGACGAUCCGUAACUGGUCUGAGAGGAUGAUCAGUCACACUGGAACUGAGACACGGUCCAGACUCCUACGGGAGGCAGCAGUGGGGAAUAUUGGACAAUGGGCGAAAGCCUGAUCCAGCCAUGCCGCGUGUGUGAAGAAGGUCUUCGGAUUGUAAAGCACUUUAAGUUGGGAGGAAGGGCAGUAAGUUAAUACCUUGCUGUUUUGACGUUACCAACAGAAUAAGCACCGGCUAACUUCGUG
rnacentral:rRNA from 1 species